AAAAUAAAAAAAUUGGGUGGCACAUCUUUUUCACACGCAAAAAAAGGAGGGGGAUACUCAGAGGAAUGAAAGGCUCUUUGUAUUAUACUGAGUGUGCUCAGAAGAUCUUUAUAAUCCUGUGUUAAUCAGAUAAAGGAGAGCUUGGCAUUGAGUGAUCCCAGAGAGAUGCCGAAAACCCAACCAUUGUGAUAGUUUUCUCUCUGUAUAAUAGAUAUGAUUUCAGCUUAUUUGUAUUGACAUCUUUAAACUAACAUUUGAAAUUUGCUAGAUAUUUUUAACUGCCUUGUUCUUGCAAAACUGACCUGGUAAUAUUUUAAUAGGAUACUACCAAUUUAAGGAAACGUCAAUGAGGCAACAUGAGGAGCUUAAGCGAGGGGUGAGGGGAGAAACUUUUUAUAGCAGCUUCAUUCUCUGAGAUCAUAUUAACAUAAAUUUGACAGUUAAUCUCCAUAUUGCAAAAAGGCUGCCCAGACUUAUUUAAUUAAACUUAGAACAAAUAUGUUUCUUUAUUUGCCAGGUACAGCUUUUAUCUUAAAAUAUCCACUUCCAAUUAUGAUGCAAGACUAUGGUUGAGGGCAAGAGUAUGGGGCAAUGGGGAUGGUAAAACCAGGGCAGAUGGAGGGUAUGCAGCUAAGGAGAGAGCCUGGCUGCUGAUGUAGUGCUCCUGGUUCCACGCUCCUGAAGAAAUUCUGUGGAAGAUGUGAUGAUUUGAAAAAGUUAUUUCUUUACUUAAGAUUUUAAAUGAUAGAAUUAAAUUGGAUAGAGAUAUUUUUCUCAAAUAUAUUUAAAAUCUAUUCUUCAAUUAAUAUUUAUUGGAUAAUAACUGUCUAAAGUAUUUGUCUAAAGAACUAUCUCAAAGAAUGUACGUCAAAAGAACUAUGGAGGAAUGAACAAAGCCUUUGACGGCAGGAGGCUUUGAGUUUGUACUCUGGAUCUAUUCCAUCCUAAAGUGAAAAUAAUUUAACCAUCCUGAAGUGAAAAUAAUUUCACCUUUAUGAACCUCAGGUUCCUCUUCUGCUAACCAAGGUUAAGAAUAUCUCAUAAUUUUUGCUGAGGAUGAAAUAUAAUGAUUCACUCAUUCAAUAAAUACUUAUAGAACACUUUUGUGACAGUCCCUCUUCUAGGUAACUAAAGAAAAUGAUGGUCCUGCCUUCAUGGAGCUUACAUUCCAGGGGAGGAAACAGGAAUAGAUAAGUGGAGUCUAUAACGUCAGGCAGUUUUAAGUUCUAGGAAGCAACAGCGCAGAAUGUGAGAAUAAAGGUGGCGGCACUGAGAAGAGGAUGUUUGGACAGGGGUGGGCAAAGACCUCUCUGAGGAAGUGACAUUUGAGCAGACUGGAAUGAAGUGAGAAAGCAAAUUAUAAAGGGGAAGGAUUAUGGGGAAAGAGAGUUCCAGGCAGAGGGAGCAGUAAACUCACAAUUCCUGAACAGGCGCUGACUUCGCUUCCUGAAGUCAGCAGGCCAGCAGAGGGGGAGGCAGCGGUGUAAAAGUGAUAGGAAACCUCCGUCUUUGUAAACGGCCUUAAAAUCCCGAAGUACAAGGAAACAUUUCAGCAAUCCCUUCAGGGGUUCCUGUGCAUGCACAUGCUCGUUGCUAUAACAUAUAUGUGGGACUCCACACUGGACAAACAAAAGCAGCCAUCACAAAGCAGAGACAAUGGCACGAAAUGCACAUGAUGGUAGAAGUUCUCUUCUCUACCACUUAGGCAGAAAUAAGAGGUCAGGCCAACUCCAUGGAAUUUUCAGGCUAAUAGAGGAUAAUCCUCCAUAUUGUAAAUCCCAGGAGGACAAGACUGUGAAUUCUUCUUCAUAUCAUCAAGGCCUACUUAUGCUAGAUGACCAUUUAAUAUUUGUUGCAAUGCAUACAAAUAAAAACUAUAAGUUUGAAUAGCUCAUAAAAACAACUCUCAGUUAUCUAACCUCUACAAGCAACAUUUUGGGUCAUUGUGAGACUUGAGGUAAUUGCUAUUUACCAGUUACAGAUAUAAGAUGUUCGUGGUCUGUUUAUUCCUCUCAGUAAAACAUCUGUCAUAUCAUAGCCUGGGUGCUUGCACAAUUUGGAACUGUUGCCAAUCAACUUAGAUGCCUAGUCUUCAUGUUUCUCUGUGGCCAAAAGCCAAUGCAAGUGUCACUUUCCCACAGAGUAUCUUGAACCAUCCAAACCACAAACAUCUCCAGCACAUGGUUUCCAUUAUAACAAUCCUGGGUAUCUGUCAAAAGUGAAGAGCAGGAGGUUGUAACUCUGAGGAGAGAAGACAGACCGGAGAGGUGAGUGUCUUCCGCUCAUGACAUGAGUGGGGUGGUCAUGAACUUGCCUACCACACAUGUGCAUCUCAGGCUCAUUGGCCAGUCUUCCAACACCUUGGAAACAGACUGGCAAAGGCCACUGUUGCUGAAUUGUAGGUUUUCUGCUCUGUGUUCCCCAUACAGUGUACCCCAAUGUCUGCUGUUCUUCCUUAUUGAGUUUUAAGCUCCCAGGAACACUUUAGCUUCUCCAUCACACAGCAGAAUGGCUUAGUAAUUUUCUGGGGACUUCUUAGCUUCCUUUAGAGAAACUUGGAAGAAUAAAGAGAGAGAAUUUUCUCCCUUUUCUUGAAUAGUAUUGAGCCAUUGUGUCUUGAGAACAUAGAAGAAGAUAGCAGAAUAUAAGAAUCAGGAAGAAAUUAACUUUUCCCCUUAGAAUAACAUUCAAAAUAGUAUAUUUAUUAGUUUCUCACCAACUGGUGAGAUAUGAAGUCAAAAUAAUUAUCAUACUCUGGGAAAACAAUACCUUUCACUUCUAUAGCAUAAACCACUUUACAUUUGACAGAGUAAUUUUGCAUGAAUCUACUUGUUUGAUAAAGGUAGAUGGGAGAGAAAUUGUUUUUGCCAUUUUAUAGAUAUAAAAUAUGCUCAUCAAGGUUAAGUAACAUGUCCAAGGAGACAUAGUAGGUAAUGAGCCAGGACUCUGAUCUGAGUUCUUAUCAGAACUUCAGGUCAAUGCUUGACUAAGUACAGAAACUUUGCAGGGCUUUGUCACAUCUAUUUACUGAAAUUACUGUAUCAGUCAGGGUUCUCAGUAGUCAAGAUCAGUUUUGGCUGCUUUAAGUAGAAAGUCAAUUGAUUUAAAGGCUCUUGGGUGGCUGUCAGAAUUGCCAAAAAGACUGAGAAAUGGUACCAUUUAUGUGCCCAAAUCUUCAAGGAAAGAGACUUCUGUCACAUCCACGAGUAGUCACACUAUCUGGUCAUUAAAUAUCCACUUAUGGAAUGCUUUGUUCACAAAAAUAUUUAACUUUUACUCACGGGCUAAUAGCCUAGCAUAAUCUACCUUUUCUCUUCCUUCCCUCAAUAGUACUUGGUGAACUAAAGGCAGAAGAACUCAACAACAUGUCUUUUCCCUUUAAUUCCUGCAUAUCAGUCUACAAAAAGCAAAAGAUUAGGUGCCAUGAGAUCCAACUUUGAGGCCCAGAUACACUUAUGCCCAUGUGACUGAUUUUCAAAUUCCUGACCUUUUCUACUUACCUCAAAGAACUGAUUGUUCAUUCAUUCAGUAAGUAUUUAUUGAAGGGCUGAGAAGAAUACUUUGAAAGUGAUUUGUAGCCUAUAAAGUUCAAGAACAAUUGUUGUUAUCACACAAUUUAGUGCUUAAUUAUAUCCUGGCACUUAUUUAUAACUGUUUCAUAUUUCUGGUCUUUUCUCCUGGACAGCAAGAUACUUCACCAUAGUCCAUUCCUCUUUUGCUACGCAAGGGGAGUGCUAGUCCACAGUAGGCUCAAACCAUGCUCCACACGCAAGUCUCAGGUUGAUCUGCCAAAGUGCAGCUCUGACCUUGAUCCUCAGCUGUGAAAAGCCAUCUCACCUUUCCAGUGCUCAGAGUCACAUCUGAACUCAUUCGACCAUCAUUCAGGACCCUUCACUAUCUGUCUUCCCCUUGCUCUCCUUCACUAAAUUUCACCUUUCUCUGGGCAAUUAACUUAAAACACCUCCCCCUGCAAAUGCCCUGUGCUCUUCUGCCAUUAACCUUGUCCUACUUGUGCCGUUUCUUUCCUUUGGAAACACCCUCAUCCUGUUGAACUUCCACAUUUCAAAGCCCAGCUCAAAUGCUAACUCCUAAAUUACUUUAAGUAGGCACAAUGUCUUUGUCUUCUAAACAAAUAGCAAUUUUUGUGUUUGUAAUAUUUUUACUAUUAUGAAGUCAUUAUUUACUGGGUUUCUUAGUCAUCUCAGGGAGAUAAGCGUUCCAGGGAGUUGCACCUCCUGUGUCAGGAUACAGACUGCCCAGGACAAACUCAUGAAUGAAGAAAGGCAGAGGUUAUUAACACCUGGGGAUUCCAUAAAUUUUUAGCUCAAAGAUUUGCUGCAUUUCUUAUUAUGAUGACUUUUUGAUACACUAUUACUUACAUGUCAUAGAUAGAAAAGUCAAAUUCAGGCUGUGAUAAAAUCAGGUAGUAAUGAUGGAAAAAGGAUUAGAAGCCAGGUUCCUUGGAUUUGAACUUUAUAUUGCUCAUAUUCAGGUUUUGUCUACAUUUCUUCCUAUAAAUUAAAAUAUUAAAAUAGUACUAAUUGCAAAUAAAUUAAUAUCCACAGUCAAUGUGGUUUGUAAGUGACUACGUGUCUCCAAUAUUUCUUUCCUUCCUGACAUUGUAUGCUAUGUAUUCUAGCCAAUCAAAUUUCAAACUAUACUUUGCUGUGGGCAUGGAUGGAGAAGCAGGUCACAUCUGAUGAAUGAAGAGGAGCUUCCAAGCAGCCAAAGUAAAGUAUUUUGCUACACAAACUGCAGGAUCAAUGUUCGUGUUUUGAAGCUCAAGAGAUUGACAGCUGUAGAAAUUAAGUUCCAGAAUAUAUCCACCAGCCAGGUUCAUAAUUGUCUCAGAAGUGGCCCUGGGAAACCCAAACAGCUCCAAGGACCACUAUACCAGGCCACUCCGCUUCUCUAAUAAAAUAUUUCUACCACUACUCUUAAAAUUUGUUUUUAAAAUUUAAUUUUUAAGAGCUGUUUUAGGUUUACAACAAAAUUAAGAAAGAGGUACAGAUAUUUCCCACAUACCCCCUGUCCCAUACAUGCAUAACUUCCCCUUUAUCAACGUCAGUCUCCAGAAUGAUACUUAUUUUUUUUUUACCAAAGAUGAACCUAUACACUAUAAUUGUUGAAAGUUCAUAGUUUAUAUUAGGGUUCACUCUUGGUGUUGUAUAUUCUGUGGGUUUAGAAAAAUGCAUAAUGAUAUAUAUCCAUCAUUAUAAUAUCAUAUGGAGUAUUUAUGCCAUAAAAAUCCUUUGUGCUUUGCUUAUUCAUCUCUACUGCCUGGUUCCCUGUGGCAACCACUGAUCAUUUUAUUGUCUCCAUAGUUUUACCUUUUCCAGAAUGUCACAUAGCUGGAAUGCAUACUGAUGCAGCCCUUUCAGAUUGGCUUCUUCCACUUAGUAAUAUGCAUUGACGGUUCCUCCAUGUCUUUACAUGCUUGAUA